CAUUGUUCCCCCUACUCUUUCCUCUGGCCCUGCUCAUCACUGGCAUAUGGCCCCCAGAAGGUGAGGGAAUAUGUCAUUCAGAGUUCCUGCCAGUUCUGGGCUCUGCACAUAUCGAUUUGUUCAGAUGUACGUAAACAAGCCAUGUGCCAUUGUGACCCUACUGCUCUUUCCCUCCUCCUCUCUUGCUGCACCACAAUAAGCUAAGAAGGCGUCAAUUAACCACAGUUUCCUGUUGUAUCCAACCAGGAACAAUGGUUACUGGCUUCGGAGCAGUAUUCUAAUUGAAGAUUUCUGGAAUUCCUGGAAUUCAAGGAAGGGAGGAAGGGUGCUUGCAGAACCAAGGGUGACUUCGUGUUCCUUGGAGGGUCCAUUCAGCGUUGGCAAGGGCACAGCUAAUAGACUCUCCGGUGUCCUGGGACGCCCUUGACCCAUUCCGUCAACACCAUUCUGUAGAGGAUUAUGGAAGACAACCAGGAGACAGAUGUCACAUUUUACCCUUUGUUCAUGCAAUUUCCUUUGCCCUCUUUUAUCGUGAGUGCUGAUGACAAGAUGUGUUAUUGCGUGUUGAAUAACCAGGGCUGUAGCUACUUGGUGAGAUAAUGCAAAAUAAAACAAAUAGCAGCUAUAGAAUUGCAAAGCCAAAUUUUCCAAAAUUGUUAGAAGCAUUUUCUGCAUGUAGUGGAGACCUACCAGGAGUCUCUCACAGAAGCCUCUGUUACAUAUAUCUUCAGAAAGGGGGAAUUCACAAACUUAAACUGUUCAGGUUUGAUCUGGUAAAGAAUCAUCAGCUGUAUUUAUUUAAGUACUGAAUUGCAACUCUAUUUAUUUUUAGGAUAUUCUCUUACUGAAAAGCAUAGCUGGAGCACAGCUAAACAAUUGCCGUCAACUGCAAGUGUGUUGUUUGGGUGAUGUAUUGCGAACCUCAGUGAUGAAUAAUAAUUAUUUUUCAAAGCAAGUCACAACAUUGCUUAGAAAUGCUAAGUAUUCAUACACUACUU